GACGAACGCUGGCGGCGUGCUUAACACAUGCAAGUCGAACGGUGAAGCGCCUUCCUUUUUGGUGGGUGUGGAUGAGUGGCGAACGGGUGAGUAACACGUGAGUAACCUGCCCCCUUCUUCUGGAUAACCGCAUGAAAGUGUGGCUAAUACGGGAUAUUCUGGGUCUGUCGCAUGAUGGGUCUGGGAAAGAUAUUGUUUCGGUGGGGGAUGGGCUCGCGGCCUAUCAGCUUGUUGGUGGGGUGAUGGCCUACCAAGGCGGUGACGGGUAGCCGGCCUGAGAGGGUGGACGGUCACACGGGGACUGAGACACGGCCCAGACUCCUACGGGAGGCAGCAGUGGGGAAUAGUGCACAAUGGGCGCAAGCCUGAUGCAGCGACGCCGCGUGAGGGAUGGAGGCCUUCGGGUUGUGAACCUCUUUCGCCAGUGAAGCAGGCCUGCCUCGUUUGUGGGUGGGUUGACGGUAGCUGGAUAAGAAGCGCCGGCUAACUACGUG
rnacentral:rRNA from 1 species